UACGUAGGGUGCAAGCGUUGUCCGGAAUUAUUGGGCGUAAAGAGCUCGUAGGCGGUCUGUUACGUCGCUGUGAAAGCCCCCGGCUCAACCGGGGAACGGGCGCCGAUACGACCGCCCUCGAGGGACGUAGGGGGACCUGGAACUUCCGGUGGAGCGGUGAAAUGCGUUGAGAUCGGAAGGAACGCCCGUGGCGAAAGCGAGGUCCUGGACGUCUGCUGACGCUGAGACGCGAAAGCCAGGGGAGCGAACGGG
rnacentral:rRNA from 1 species